GGCUUACGUUCAGGCUCUCCUGUGCCCAGAGAGAGAAUAAAGCCAUGUUGAAACCGUCCACAAUUGCUUAAGUGUUUUUCCAGCUACCGCCACUCGCCUGACUCCCCUUGGACCUCAGUUAGAACCUGACAUUUGGCGCCAUGAACAGAUCCUGAGGACGAGGGAGCAGAUAACAUCUCCUGUUCUGCCUCUGAGGUGGAAAAGCUGGCCUCUAUCAUGACUCACCCCUCCCUCCAUCAGCAGUUGCAGAUUUAGAAGCAGUGGCGCCCUUCUUGUGGCAACAUUUGGCUGCAUGUGGUUGGGCCAUCAACAAAUCCAAGGUCCAACAGCCUGGAUUAUCUGCGAGAUUCCUGGGAGUUAUCUGGUCAGGUUGACAUGCUCCAACUGCAUUGUGGACUGGGCCCACACCUUCACUGAGGUGACCAAUGUUUCCAACUGUUGGAUCUGCACCAUCCUUCCAGGAGCAGCUGCAGAUGGCUUGCCUUGGCACAUACAUUCAGCAUCUGCAGAGAAAUGGACAUGGCUGGAGACUUUGAGUCCCAUGGCCGACACCUGGAAUGCGACAGGGCAAGCUGCAGACAAAGAAUUCCGCAAGACCCAUAGCAUGCCUGCCCCAUCUUGCCUGUAGCAUUUAUGAUGGGAGGGGCUGGCUAGUGGGGAAAUAUGUAGUACCCCCAGCUCAGGGACGGCAGUGCAUAGAGGAACACUGGGGUAACACCACUGUGGGAUGGCUACCCUGCAAGGCCUGUGUAAACAUAACACAUGUCACCACACCGAAGGUAUGGUGGAACAUGCGGCCCCACCCAAGGUCAGGCCCUGAUGGAUUUUAUGACCCCUGGGAGUUUAUGGGUCAUUGAGGACACAGGGUGUCCUUACCUACCAGCAGACUGGCCUGGACGUUGUACCUGAGUUUGGCCUUACGUACCUGGCACUGUUCUCCCUGCUUUGCCCAGAUGCCAGAAUAACUGGGAGGUGCUAUGCUCUCACUUUUUGUGAGUGCGAUGAGGCCCCUGGUGGUUCUUCACCUUGGAAGUGACUAUCCCUGGAGUGGGUAUCAUAACUGUAAAAGCAGAAGUUACUGCUUUUGCAGAGCACACCGCUCGGGCUCUGAAUCACACCCGAGGGGCCCUCCUCCUGUCAAUUGAUGCAGUUGAUCAGAUCAGGAAGGUGGUGUUGCAAAACCGAAUGGCCUUAGACAUAGUAACUGCUGCCCAAGGAGGCAUCUGUACCCUUUUAGGAACACAAUGUUGUACCUUUAUCCCUGACAGUCAGCAGAACAUAACAGCAGCCCUUCAAGGGGUCUCAUGGGAGAAUAAGUUUCUAGGGAGCCUUACUGAUGAACCCCUGCAGAGAAGGAGGGGCAUCCCUAGGCUCUGGCCUAUGCUGGGCCCCAAUAGUUAUAAAUAGCGUAACUGGGAUCCUAGUAGCUGUUGCUCUCUGUAUUGUUAUUGUGGGUUAUAGAUUCAGGGCUCUGCUGUAUGGGCACAUGUCUCUGCCCGGAGGACACUCUUGGCCUAGGGAGUGGAGGGUAAGGAAAAUGGCUGCACUUUAGUCAGGAAUAAGCUGAGGCAGCCUUCCAAAGCAGCAUAACUCAGUGGGUUUGGAGCACAGGUGCACAGCCCUGCACAUUAUGUAACCACACCAUGUGAGGUGCAUUAGGUGAUCACACACGUGCGCUCAUGUUUUGCUCAGAACCACUAUUGUCUGUAAAAGGUAUGGUUACCCUACUAAAGCUGUACAUAUGGCUCACCCCCAGGCUCACUCAUGCCCAGACUCACUCGCACUUAGAGAGAGUAAAGCCAAGUCAAAACUGUCUACGAUUCCUUGAGUGUUUCUCCAGCUACCCGCCACUCACCCCACCAACUCCCCUCGGACCCCAGUUAAAACCUGACACCACCCCUUUCCCUGUAAGAGGAGUGCAUUCCUGCCCACUGCCAUGCAGCUUUCUAUGUCCCCAGUGGGAGGCCCAUGCAUCCCUGUCCCAUCGGCUUUUGGCUUUGACCAAAGGAACAAAAGCAGACAUGACAGAGGCCACAUCCAAGUAGAAACUCUAAGAGGCAGGACAGGUGUCCACAGUACUCCUGGUCUUUCUUUCUGCUAUGAGAAUAGCAUAUCCCACUUAGGAAGCUGUUCCUUCAGCUUAAGUCCCUGAAUGGGAAACUGCUGCAGCCAAAGAAAGCUUCAGUCAAUGCAUAGUCUCCCUUUAAUAAACCUUGUGGUAGAAA
rnacentral:lncRNA from 1 species